GACGAACGCUGGCGGCGUGCUUAACACAUGCAAGUCGAACGAUGAUCAGGAGCUUGCUCCUGUGAUUAGUGGCGAACGGGUGAGUAACACGUGAGUAACCUGCCCCUGACUCUGGGAUAAGCGUUGGAAACGACGUCUAAUACUGGAUACGACUGCCGGCCGCAUGGUCUGGUGGUGGAAAGAUUUUUUGGUUGGGGAUGGACUCGCGGCCUAUCAGCUUGGUGGUGAGGUAAUGGCUCACCAAGGCGACGACGGGUAGCCGGCCUGAGAGGGUGACCGGCCACACUGGGACUGAGACACGGCCCAGACUCCUACGGGAGGCAGCAGUGGGGAAUAUUGCACAAUGGGCGAAAGCCUGAUGCAGCAACGCCGCGUGAGGGAUGACGGCCUUCGGGUUGUAAACCUCUUUUAGUAGGGAAGAAGCGAAAGUGACGGUACCUGCAGAAAAAGCACCGGCUAACUACGUGCCAGCCGCCGCGGUAA
rnacentral:rRNA from 1 species